UAGGGAAUCUUCGGCAAUGGACGAAAGUCUGACCGAGCAACGCCGCGUGAGUGAAGAAGGUUUUCGGAUCGUAAAAACUCUGUUGGUAGAGAAGAACGUUGGUGAGAGUGGAAAGCUCAUCAAGUGACGGUAACUACCCAGAAAGGGACGGCUAACUACGUGCUAG
rnacentral:rRNA from 1 species